GGGAAGAUGGCUCAGUGGUAGAGCACUUGCCUUGCAUGCCUGAGGCCCUGGGUUUGAU
rnacentral:tRNA from 1 species